CAGUCGCCACGGGAAUACGUAGGUGGCAAGCGUUGUCCGGAAUUAUUGGGCGUAAAGGGCUCGCAGGCGGUUUCUUAAGUCUGAUGUGAAAGCCCCCGGCUCAACCGUGGAGGGUCAUUGGAAACUGUUAAACUUGAGUGCAGGAGAGAAAAAUGGAAUUCCUAGUGUAGCGGUGAAAUGCGUAGAGAUUAGGAGGAACACCAGUGGCGAAGGCGGCUUUUUGGCCUGUAACUGACACUGAGGCGCGAAAGCGUGGGGAGCAAACAGGAUUAGAUACCCCAGUAGUCCCUGUCUCUUAUAC
rnacentral:rRNA from 1 species